UGUGAGUUUGUUGUGAUAGUACUUCAAGGCGGGAAUGCUGGUGCCUAUGUGGUCGGGCGUAAAACAGUAAGAGCUAAUCAGUGGUUGACCUACGUGACUUGACACACCAUUACAGAUCAGCUGUUACUCAAACAGAAAGCGUACCAGUCAACCGCCCUGGGAAGUUGUAGGGCUUGGACAGGAGACCAGUCAACGGCACCUUCUUGGUUACAACAGCAAACCACGUGGCGUAGUACAUGAAAGGCACUGGGUAAAUAAUACAAGCGCAGUCGUAAUUCAAGCAUACGGAAUAUUAGACGUGCGGCCUAAUCAAGCAGCACCCAAAGGAAACCUGGACUUAUACUCAUAAUAUUUGCUCCAGAUUCACAUAAAAUAACUUCAAGAUGGGUUCGGGAAGAGGCGAUCCACCGGCGGAGAAAGUGGAACUUAAAAAAACUAUCACCCUGUUCCAAGGGGUUGCAAUUAUCGUGGGUAUUAUUAUCGGCUCCGGGAUUUUUGUGUCACCUGUUGGAAUCUUGAUGCACACAAAAUCAGUGGGGAUGUCCAUGGUAAUGUGGUCCAUUUGCGGCGUUUACAACACCCUCUGCGCCGUGUGUUAUGCGGAGCUUGGGGCAGCGAUGCCACAAUCUGGCGGAGAAUAUGUUUACAUCAAAAGAGCAUUUGGGGAUUACCCAGCAUUUGUGUGUCUGUGGAUUAACUUUAUGUUGAUAUGCCCAGUCGGUAUCGCUGCACUGAGUCUGAUAUGCAGUCUGUAUAUUCUACAACCGAUAUUCCCUGAUUGCGAUGUACCAGAGCUUCCUAAGAGACUGUUUGCUGUGUGUAUUGUAUGUCUGCUGAUCGGCAUCAACAUUCGCAAUGUCAAAUGGGCGACACGGGUGCAGGUCGUCAUCACCACCUGCAAACUGGUGGCGCUCGGCAUCAUCAUUGUCAUCGGAUUCAUCUACUUCGGGAAAGAUAUGAAGACUCGAGGUGAGAUUGACAGCUUCAAGAACUCGUUCGAAGACAGCGACUAUAGAGCUGGAGCCAUCGCACUUUCCUUCUACUCCGGCUUCUGGGCAUACAGCGGAUGGAGUUACCUGAACUUUUUGACAGAAGAACUUGUGAACCCAAAUCGCAAUCUACCUCGAGCCAUCAUGAUCUCCAUGGUUCUGGUCAUCUCUAUCUACCUGGUCACAAACAUUGCAUACCUGGCUGUCCUCUCCCCAGCUCUGAUGCUCAAGUCAACCGCUGUGGCUGUGACGUUUGCCGGUCACACAAUGGGUGUGAUGUCAUGGUUGAUACCUAUCCUCAUUGCUGUCUCUGUGAUGGGAACCAUGAACGGAACUGCACUCUCAAUGUCAAGACUUUUCUUCAUCGGAGCUCAGAACAAUCAUAUGCCCCACUUCAUGGGCAUGAUCCAGUACAAGUACCUCACCCCGGCCUCAUCACUGUUUGUCAUUUUGGCUCUAGUCGUAUGUUUCCAGUCAUCCAAUGAUAUUUGGUAUCUGAUCGAGAUGGAGGGUUUCGGGUUUGCCACUGUGCUCACAGUGGUGUUUGCUGGACAGGCCUAUCUCAGAUACAAGGAACCGGACAUGAAGAGACCCAUCAAGGUCCAUGUUGCGCUCCCCAUAAGCCUGUGCAUCAUCAGCUUCGCCAUCGUUGUGCUCACAUUCUACCAGAAACCAUCCGAAAGCUUGAUGGCUCUUGGCCUCAUCGCUCUUGGCUCCGCCCUAUAUAUCAUUGGCAACAGGUGGCAGAACAAACCAAGAGAACUCCAGACCAAGAUCAAUUCUAUCAACACCUUCUUUCAAAGACUGUUCUUGGUGAUACCACCAGACAACCCUGAUGAUGUGGACUGGGAAUAAUCUCCCCUUCUGUGAACCUACGUUGGGAGUAACCUCCCCUUCUGUGAACCUACAUUGGGAGUAACCUCCCUUUUUAUGAGACUUGAGAGUAGCCUCCCCUGCUGUGGAAAUGGACUGGGACCAUAUUGCCCCAAAGGCAAAAAGUAUAAGUUGUAUCUUUGCUUUCUGCAGAAGGAAGAUUGCUAAUUGACAUGUGAAAUAUAGGAUUUAUAUUAUGUUUAGUGUGUACAUUUUGCAUGAGUUCAUGUUUACAUGUCGUGUAAAAGGUAACAAUUGAAGAAAAACACAGCAAACUAUCUUCGACGACUGACCAAAGGGUCAUCAGGUGCUCAUAACAAUUAAAGUUCUGGUACAAAGCUUUCAUUUGCAGAAACCAACAGAAUACUUCUGAUCACCUUCAGAUAUUCAUUUCCCAGGGCAUUACAAGAGUUAGUACCCCAUACAGCAUAUCCAUUGCUUUUGUCAAAAUCAGUGUUUGAUUUGUUUGGGGGCAUUCUACAGGGAUUUUAGAACACCUGACAGACAUUUGUCCCGUACCUGCAGCUAGAGUCAGUAAAUAUACCCAAAUUGAAAUGAUCCCCAAUUUAAUAACUGCCUCCUGAAUGGAUUGGUCGAGGUGACUUGUAUAACAGGACCAGUAAAAAAGAAACUUAAUUUCACUUUAUUGAAUUUAGUUCAUUGUUAAAGUAUUUUGAGCUAAACAAUUUUGACCAGCGGGCUACCCAAGGGUAGUUUGCAUCCAAGUUGAAAACCUGUUCAGCUGUCCUGAAAUAGGACAGUGUGAAUCAUGGAUCUUCCAUACAUACUGACCAACUGUCAUGUUUUAAAAUGUUCAUGUUGUUUUCUGUGCCUUAACUGAUUUAUAAGCAUUUCAAGUGUGCUUUCAUUGUGUCACAAGUGUGGUAGCAGGUUGAGUGUGGUUGGAACUCUUAUCCGAGUGUAUGCGAAAACUGUGAGAGAGUCUAUGGUUACCGUUCUUCACUUACAUCAUCAUGCACAUAUCCCUUUUAGGCAGUUUGUAUGCUUCGAGUAGUAAUAACUGUUCCUUUAUAGCGAUCAUGCUCUUGUUCAUUUAUGUUGUAUUUAUUCAUCUUUUAAGCUGUUGUGACCAUAUUUGUAGUUUUGCCUAGCUUUAUCAUGUUUGAAUAAUGUCCAUUGAUUUAAAUAGGACACAUUGACAUCACUUCAUAAAUGCAUUGACAGUAUUAUGGAUUGACAUGGUUUUGGUGUUGCAGCUUGAAGUAAGCUUACAGUACCUGUUCAAUCAGUGACAUCACCAGUGUGUGGUAUUGAGUGAGGAUACAACUUGACAGCUUAAUGGGGGGGGGGGAUGCAAGCCUAUGUCAGCCUAUUAAGAUACUGGGGUUGGCUCACAGCAGGCAUUACAUUUAAACAAACUUAAGUCUGAGUUUUUACUUGAGUUUGAGUUUUUACUCAAAUUUGGGAAACAGCAGGAAAAUGCAUUUCCCAGAACGAACUGAAAUUGAUAUCAAACGUAAACAUGGUAAACAAUUUGAGCUUGAUGGAUAGAUUACUUAAGUUGUUUGAGCUUUUUUAUUUUAAAAAUGCAGUUGAGUUAAAAUUUCAGCGGUUUUAAAUUGACAAACUCAGUUUGAAAUUUGAGUAAAAAAUGUUUGUUAAAUAGUGUUAAAUAUUAAAAACCUAAGUUUGUUUCGAGAAAUCAGGCUUGAUUUGCUGACUGUUUAUCUGUGUGAGAUUUGAAUGAUUCCAUGACAUGACCUUAAUCAUUAUACAAGAUACUGGUACCGCUUUUUCAGCCUAGUUGUACCAGAAAUUCUCAGAUCAGAAUCCAGUACAAGGUGGUCUAUUAAGUAUGACAAUUGUAUGUUCCAUUCUUGAACGUAGUCUUAGAUCUAAGAUGAUUUUGUGAAAAUGCAAAGAAAUUUUGUGAUAGUUGAUUCUAGUAUUUGUAGAAAUUCACGUCAUUACAACUUGUGACCAAGAUAUGUGUUUACUCACAUCACUGUCUCAUGAUGCUUCAAUGCUGCCAUGACUAAUGUGUUCCAUGUUUUGUCUUGAUUACUCAAGUGCUUGAUGGGCAUUUAGAAGUUGGAAAGUAACAUAACAACGUAUGGUAUGGAUUUACAACUUCUUUAUUAUUUGCAACAUGACGUUUCCGGGCUACUUCUUGCCUCUUUAUCAGAUGAAUGGUGAAGGGAUGAUGAAGGGGUAAGAAGUAGCCCAGAAGCGUUGUGUUGUAUAUAACUAUGCCAAAAACUAACCAAUGCAUUAUCUAUUUCAAUCAUAUGUUCAUGAAAACAGUCCAUCUACUUGUAUAUUUUUUGUGUUCCAGAAUGUGGUUAUAAACAUACAAUAGUGAGUGAUAAACACUGGCUUUAGAAUGAAAGAACAGUAGACAUUUUCAAGACUUCGGACUUGGUUUCCAACUGUAAGAAAUGCUGUAUGUGAUUGAAAACAUGUUUUUCUUUGCAUUCUUGUACUUUUAUUCUUGUCUAUUCUAUCAAUUUGAGAGAUUUUGUCAGGGUUAUCCACAGGUAAUGUGACAAGAUUUCUACAUAUGAUGGAGCUUCACACCCUGUUGUCAUGUUGACUAGGAAGACUAUGUAAAACAAGUUGAUUUAAUUGUAUUGAUGAUACAUAACACAGUUGUAUUUGUUUCUUUCUUUCAACAAUUUUUAUUGUUUGCACUAGCGUUAACCAACCCCACAGAAUUACAUAAAUGUGUAAACUUGGUCUCGUCACAAUAGCUGAAACAAUGUGAUGCAAUGUUAAAUUUUAACCUGCACGCUUUCUUCGGAAAUUAAGGGAUUUGCUGGUGUAUUUUAGGGUUUGCUUGUUUUAGUCCAAAAUGUUCCUGAAGGAUGUUUGAUUGGCUUUUUAGAAGAUGCUAUUUGAUGGUUUGGUAUGUUUCAGGGCUUGUUCUGGCGCCCUCAUCAGGAAGAACUAAAGAACAGUAACAGUUCCUUAAGGAUAUUUAUAUUUUCAUCUGUGUGCCAUAGUGCUUCUUGAGUGCCUGUUAUUCUUGUGGGAUGUGACAUAAUGGUGUAUAUAUGUAUUAUUUUAUGUCGUGUGUAUAUGUGGAGAAUAUGUCUAUAGUUAUCUAUUAUCUUGACAUACCCUACUAUGCUUGCUUCUAGCAUUGUCUAGUGCUUGUGAUGACACUGUUACAAAAUAACAGUAGUUUGCUUUUAUGUUAUUUAUGUCCCCCUAGGGAGCCUCGGGUAUGAUGGGCUUGUAUUUCACCUUGCAGUUAAAAGCUUAAACCGAGAGCCUUGGGUUAGGCGGCCCAGUACACUGUGCUUGUAGUAGCAGAUGAGUGAAAUGGUUUUACAGUUUCGUUGUGUCAUUCUGCCAUGUUGAGAUAUGGGGGUGUGUUCAGGCUAUCAACCACUGGUCCAGACUUACCUAAGGCUUGUGUGAUACAGUUAUCAUUAGGUCGCUCCUAUUUAACACCAUAUUCACUUAUUUGCUCAAUCAAUCUCCCUCCUUCACUUGUUUUACUUGUCUAUGUUGUCACAGUUCUUUCUGUAUUAUAUUGUACAGUUCUCUCCCUUCGUUGUGCCAGGAUCAUCUAAUUGUGGGAUCAAAUCCCAAGUUCAUUCCAAUUAUUAUCUUUCUUUUUUCAAUUUUUUCAGCACUGUACCUGCACUCAUGGGAUUAUGUCCCUUAGUUGUGGCAGGAUUAACUGAUUGUGGGAUCAAAUCCCUAAUUCCUCUGUAUUAUGAUGCUUGAUAUCUGAGCACUUUAUUACCCUUUUGGGGUUAUGUCCUCUAGCUUUGCUUGGAGAAGAUAUUGUGGGAAGAAAUCCCAAAUUCCUCCAAACCAUUAUCCUCUAUUUGUCAGCACAAUUCCCAUGUUCACUGGGUUUAUCAAGCAGCAAUUGAUCGAUAAUUAGUGAAUGAUUAUCAGUCAAUUAAACCAGAUUUCUGCCGUCUCUAUUUUGUAAGCUAUACUUUUGGCAUAAUCACAAUAAUAUCAUUUUGACACUGAAAGAAAACUUACAUGCAAGUUCUGAAGGAACCUAUUUCACAUCAAUUCAUGUUUUCUCUAGCAGCAUAAAAACAGUUUCCAUGACAACACAGUUUGUAAAUAAUUAUUGGGAUUAAAAGAAAAUUGUCUCUAACCUAUAGCUCCUUAUUUCUUUAAAUCCUGUUGGAUUCCUUACCUCUAUGACAUCAUAUCCAUAAAUUCCUGUUUGGCUGUUUGUCAUGCUAUAUAUUUUGUUGAAAAUGUUCAAGGGACGUCCUCUUCACUGCCAACAUAUCUUAAUAGUUGUGAGGAUAACAAUUCUAUUUCUAUUUCCCCAUAACCCCAGGAUACUAGAAGGUCAGUCCCUCUGUGGCGCCAUGAAUCCAAAUGUCUCAUUUGUGUAGUUGCAAAACACUAAUAGUGUGAUAUAUAGCAAUGCUAGUCUAGAGGCCCAUAAUCCAACAAUGCAUCUUUUACAUUAUUUUAUUGGCAAGUAAGACUAGCCACAUUACCUUUGGCAUGCAUCUGUCAUAUUCUGUGUAGUAAGCCCACUGUUACAUGUUUUCAGUUUCACAUAUAGGCAAUAAGACUUCAUUUUCAAUGAGACUAUAGUUACUGAUCAUUUCAAUGCAGGAAUCUAUGUUCUGACUCUCACAGGGAAUUCAAAAUGAUUUCAAGAUUUGCUGUCUGGAAAAAUAUGUGUGCACAGGAAAAUACUUUUAAAAUACACUUUUUACUUCCCUUUCCCUGUUGUUAAGAUAAUAACCUUAUUAUGUGCAUGUCCAUGUGCAUGUCCAGGGAGAAAGAAUAUUUUUCACUGCUUCUUUUAAUUAAAUUUCUAAAAGUACCCUUCCUUCACAAGGAACUUAUUUUAAUGGUGCCAGUGGCCGCUUUUAAAAGGAAUUUUGGUUUUAAUUCCUGAUGAUAUCUUAGACAAUCUCCAUGUGUUUAUAUAAAGACAUAAACCUUUAAUUGUUAGUUGUGGAGCUUUUAUGAGAGCGGGGCACUUAUUGCAUACAUUUGGCUAGAUUGUCUUCAUUGUAUCCUUUUAUCACAUGCCACCAUAUUCUGCCCUUAUGUAUUUUAGUAAAAGUGUGAAUAUGUUC